rnacentral:rRNA from 1 species
CGCCCUUAGAGUUUGAUCAUGGCUCAGAUUGAACGCUGGCGGCAGGCUUAACACAUGCAAGUCGAGCGGUAGGAGAGCUUGCUCUCUACGAGCGGCGGACGGGUGAGUAAUGUCUGGGAAACUGCCUGAUGGAGGGGGAUAACUACUGGAAACGGUAGCUAAUACCGCAUAAUGUCGCAAGACCAAAGAGGUUCGUCUUGCCAUCAGAUGUGCCCAGAUGGGAUUAGCUAGUAGGUGGGGUAAUGGCUCACCUAGGCGACGAUCCCUAGCUGGUCUGAGAGGAUGACCAGCCACACUGGAACUGAGACACGGUCCAGACUCCUACGGGAGGCAGCAGUGGGGAAUAUUGCACAAUGGGCGCAAGCCUGAUGCAGCCAUGCCGCGUGUAUGAAGAAGGCCUUAGGGUUGUAAAGUACUUUCAGCGAGGAGGAAGGCGUUGUAUAAUUGCAACGAUUGACGUUACUCGCAGAAGAAGCACCGGCUAACUCCGUGCCAGCAGCCGCGGUAAUACGGAGGGUGCAGCGUUAAUCGGAAUUACUGGGCGUAAGCGCACGCAGGCGGUUUG